rnacentral:rRNA from 1 species
GACGAACGCUGGCGGCGUGCCUAAUACAUGCAAGUCGAGCGAACAGAUGAAGAAGCUUGCUUCUUCUGAUGUUAGCGGCGGACGGGUGAGUAACACGUGGGCAACCUACCUUAUAGUUUGGGAUAACUCCGGGAAACCGGGGCUAAUACCGAAUAAUCUAUUUCUUCUCAUGAAGAAAUACUAAAAGACGGUUUCGGCUGUCGCUAUAAGAUGGGCCCGCGGCGCAUUAGCUAGUUGGUGAGGUAACGGCUCACCAAGGCAACGAUGCGUAGCCGACCUGAGAGGGUGAUCGGCCACACUGGGACUGAGACACGGCCCAGACUCCUACGGGAGGCAGCAGUAGGGAAUCUUCGGCAAUGGGCGAAAGCCUGACCGAGCAACGCCGCGUGAAUGAUGAAGGCCUUCGGGUUGUAAAAUUCUGUUAUAAGGGAAGAACGACUUUAGUAGGAAAUGGCUAGAGUGUGACGGUACCUUAUGAGAAAGCCACGGCUAACUACGUGCCAGCAGCCGCGGUAAUACGUAGGUGGCGAGCGUUAUCCGGAAUUAUUGGGCGUAAAGAGCGCGCAGGUGGUUGAUUAAGUCUGAUGUGAAAGCCCACGGCUUAACCGUGGAGGGUCAUUGGAAACUGGUCAACUUGAGUGCAGAAGAGGGAAGUGGAAUUCCAUGUGUAGCGGUGAAAUGCGUAGAGAUAUGGAGGAACACCAGUGGCGAAGGCGGCUUCCUGGUCUGUAACUGACACUGAGGCGCGAAAGCGUGGGGAGCAAACAGGAUUAGAUACCCUGGUAGUCC